UACGUAGGGUGCAAGCGUUAAUCGGAAUUACUGGGCGUAAAGCGUGCGCAGGCGGUUCGCUAAGACCGAUGUGAAAUCCCCGGGCUUAACCUGGGAACUGCAUUGGUGACUGGCGGGCUAGAGUAUGGCAGAGGGGGGUAGAAUUCCACGUGUAGCAGUGAAAUGCGUAGAUAUGUGGAGGAAUACCGAUGGCGAAGGCAGCCCCCUGGGAUAACACUGACGCUCAUGCACGAAAGCGUGGGGAGCAAACAGG
rnacentral:rRNA from 1 species